CACGUAGGGACCAAGCGUUGUCCGGAUUCAUUGGGCGUAAAGAGCUCGUAGGCGGUUCAGUAAGUCGGGUGUGAAACCUCCAGGCUCAACCUGGAGACGCCACCCGAUACUGCUGUGACUAGAGUCCAGUAGGGGAGCGUGGAAUUCCUGGUGUAGCGGUGAAAUGCGCAGAUAUCAGGAGGAACACCAGCGGCGAAGGCGGCGCUCUGGGCUGGAACUGACGCUGAGAAGCGAAAGCAUGGGGAGCGAACAGG
rnacentral:rRNA from 1 species